CAAUAGCGUAUAUUUAAGUUGUUGCAGUUAAAAAGCUCGUAGUUGGAUUUCGGAUGGGAUUUGCCGGUCCGUUGUUACGAUGUGCACUGGCCAGUCCUAUCUUGUUGUCGGGGACUAGCUCCUUGGAUUCACUUCCUGGGACUAGGAGCUGACGAGGUUACUUUGAGUAAAUUAGAGUGUUCAAAGCAAGCCUACGCUCUGAAUACAUUAGCAUGGAAUAACACGAUAGGACUCUGGCUUAUCUUGUUGGUCUGUGAGACCAGAGUAAUGAUUAAGAGGGACAGUCGGGGACAUUCGUAUUUCAUUGUCAGAGGUGAAAUUCUUGGAUUUAUGAAAGACGAACUUCUGCGAAAGCAUUUGUCAAGGAUGUUUUCAUUAA
rnacentral:rRNA from 1 species